rnacentral:rRNA from 1 species
GUGAGGAAUAUUGCGCAAUGGAGGCAACUCUGACGCAGCCAUGCCGCGUGCAGGAAGAAGGCGCUACGCGUUGUAAACUGCUUUUAACCGGGAAGAAACCCCAGGAUGUGUCCUGGGUUGACGGUACCGGAGGAAUAAGCACCGGCUAACUUCGUGCCAGCAGCCGCGGUAAUACGAAGGGUGCAAGCGUUAUCCGGAUUCAUUGGGUUUAAAGGGUGCGUAGGCGGAGCGUUAAGUCAGUGGUGAAAUCCUGCAGCUUAACUGUAGACUUGCCAUUGAUACUGGCGCUCUUGAGUGCGCUUGAAGUGGGCGGAAUGUGCCGUGUAGCGGUGAAAUGCUUAGAUAUGGCACAGAACACCAAUUGCGAAGGCAGCUCACUAAGGCGAUACUGACGCUGAGGCACGAAAGCGUGGGGAUCGAACAGGAUUAGAUACCCUUGUAGUCC